ensembl:snRNA U6 U6 spliceosomal RNA
GUGCUCGUUUUGGCAGCACAUAUACUAAAAUUGGAAUGAUACAGAGAAGAUUAAUUAGCAUGGCCCCUGCAAGGAUGACAUGCAAAUUUAUGAACCUUUACAUAUUAAA